ACCGUGCCUGAACACUCUCUCUCCGCAGGGGGAUUUCCGACACAAGUCGUCAUUUGUGAUCUGAUGAUGGAACAAGGACAGUGAGGGCUGCCGCGCUCCGAGUCGUGACACGCGGGCCCGUCCUCCAUGCCGCUGCACCGCCGAGCUGCAACAGGCCGAGCUCCGGAGUUCGCAGCGGGACUGAAACCCAACCACUCAAACUUGCCAAAGUCAUUGCAUGGUUUUUAACAUAAGCUGAGGAGGCAGGAAGGAAGCAUCUCUGAUGUGCCAGGUAGAAACGGAGGAGGCAGUCUAUCAUGUCAACUUUCUACUGUAAACAUUUAGCUUUUGUCAUUUGUAUAACAUUUGUUUUCUACUGUUGAAACACUAUUUUUGAUGGAAUAUAUUUUAAAAUGCCUAUAGAUAAAAGUUUACUUUUUUAAAUAUUUGUAAUAUACUAACAUGUGUGUAGGGUUUUUUUGUUUUGUUUUGUUUUUUCUUUGGUUGUGGAUAAAAGUUUUUAACACUUUAACCACUUUGUGUAAAGCUGUAAAGCAUUCUCACCUUCUCAAAAGAAAGACUUGCUGCUUCCACGUCCAGAAGUAAAACCCCGAUGGCCGCUCUCACUUACCGAGUCGCUCCACCCGGUCCGCGUUACAGUGACAAAACUUCCACGUUCGUGUUCGUAGAUAGUCUUAGCGAGAGGCUUCGGUGAGCGCCGUGAACACCGUACCAGUCGGCGCUGCGUGUUUUCUCAUUUUAAGUGUCCUUCAAUGCUUACGGUUUAGUCCUGUGUGUGUUGCAGUUCCUGUCAGGAUAGAGUUUGCCGUCGUACGCUGCAGUAUGUGUUGAGUGUUACACCGUAGCAGUGAGAGUGACGAUAACACAGAGUUUGUAAGUUAACCUUCCAGAACCAGAGGAACCCAAACAAAACUGCUGAAAAGCUCGAUGUGGUACCGGCGGGGGUCUCUAUGCAGUCCGGAAACGUCUGGAAUUUGAUUCCAGUGUACAAAUUUGUUGUUUUCCAGACUUUAUUCCCCAUCCAAUUGACUAAGCGUUGUGUCCGCCCUCAUGUCUUUUCCAGGCCUGUCACAACAACACAUUUUGCUGGACUGAAAAUUGCCCCAGAAAUUACUGCAAUGAACAACAAUAUUGUUGGUUUGAGACGAUUUUCAACUUAUUUGUUGAUAAUGGCCUAGUAACGCAAGUAUGCAGUCUCUUUACAGAACACUUCAUACUGGAACUAAAAGAUAUUUUAAAUAAC